rnacentral:tRNA from 1 species
GUUAAUGUAGCAUAACUUGGUAUUGCAAAAGACCUAAACCCUUUUUAUAGAGAUUCAAAUCCUCUCAUUAACU